AGAGUUUGAUCAUGGCUCAGAUUAAACGCUGGCGGCAUGCCUUACACAUGCAAGUCGAACGGUAGCGCGGGGGCAACCUGGCGACGAGUGGCGAACGGGUGAGUAAAGCAUCGGAACGUGCCCUGGAAUGGGGGAUAACGUAGCGAAAGUUACGCUAAUACCGCAUAUUCUGUGAGCAGGAAAGCAGGGGAUCGCAAGACCUUGCGUUCUGGGAGCGGCCGAUGUCGGAUUAGCUAGUUGGUGGGGUAAAAGCCUACCAAGGCGACGAUCCGUAGCGGGUCUGAGAGGAUGAUCCGCCACACUGGGACUGAGACACGGCCCAGACUCCUACGGGAGGCAGCAGUGGGGAAUUUUGGACAAUGGGCGAAAGCCUGAUCCAGCCAUGCCGCGUGAGUGAAGAAGGCCUUCGGGUUGUAAAGCUCUUUCGGACGGGAAGAAAUCAUGAGGGCUAAUAUCCCUUGUGGAUGACGGUACCGUAAUAAGAAGCACCGGCUAACUACGUG
rnacentral:rRNA from 1 species